rnacentral:rRNA from 1 species
UACGGGGGGGGCAAGCGUUGUUCGGAAUUACUGGGCGUAAAGCGUGCGCAGGCGGUUUUGUAAGCCAGAUGUGAAAUCCCCGGGCUUAACCUGGGAAUGGCAUUUGGGACUGCAAGGCUCGAGUGCGGCAGAGGAGACUGGAAUUCCUGGUGUAGCGGUGAAAUGCGCAGAUAUCAGGAGGAACACCGGUGGCGAAGGCGGGUCUCUGGGCCGUAACUGACGCUGAGGAGCGAAAGCGUGGGGAGCAAACAGG